AUGAGCAUUCCUCUGGAGGAAUGACUAGCAUAGCCUCAGACUGUUCAAGUUCGGCUGCAACUUCCAAUCUGAAUUGAACCCCCUCUGAUGGAGCCGUUGAUGGAUCAGUUGCAGCUUUGUCAUCUCUCACCAUUCGAUCUUCUGUAGACGGUGCCUCAGUCAGAAGAAACAUUGUCAGGGCUAACAAUACUAAGACUGGCUCGGGAACUGUUUCCGAUAGAGCA
rnacentral:lncRNA from 1 species